AGAACGAACGCUGGCGGCAGGCUUAACACAUGCAAGUCGAACGGGCGUGAGCAAUCACGCCAGUGGCAGACGGGUGAGUAACGCGUGGGAACAUACCCUCCGGUUCGGAAUAGCUCAGGGAAACUUGGAUUAAUACCGGAUACGGCCGUGAGGCGAAAGAUUUAUCGCCGGAGGAUUGGCCCGCGUUCGAUUAGCUUGUUGGUGAGGUAACGGCUCACCAAGGCGAUGAUCGAUAGCUGGUCUGAGAGGAUGAUCAGCCACAUUGGGACUGAGACACGGCCCAAACUCCUACGGGAGGCAGCAGUGGGGAAUAUUGGACAAUGGGCGCAAGCCUGAUCCAGCCAUGCCGCGUGAGUGAUGAAGGCCUUAGGGUUGUAAAGCUCUUUCGCUCGGGACGAUAAUGACGGUACCGAGAUAAGAAGCCCGGCUAACUUCGCGCCAGCAGCCGC
rnacentral:rRNA from 1 species